CUGACCCGGGACGUCACGGCGCCUGCCUGUGUUCCCAAUGAUAACUUGGCAGGAGCAGGGGGAAGCGGCCGGGUUUUUCCUGGGCUCGUUACCGGGGUGACAUUCAGUGCCGGGCGAGCCUCGCCGGUCACCGCCACGUCCCACCUGGAAAAAACACAAACAAAACCACAAAAAAAAAAAAAAAAAGACCAACUAAAAAGAAAACAAAAAAGGCGACUGCCGGAAAGGGGAUGGGGAGGGAGGGGGUGCCAGCUCCCCACGGCAGGGAUGCGGGCGGCGGACGGGACACCUCGYCCAGGGGACGCGGGGACACACGCGCCGCCGGCCGCCAGCAGGCCAUGUGCCGAGAGGCCGGCGGGGGCGGGGGAACGGGCACCGCACACACACAGAACCCCCAGUAAAUUAAAAAAAAAAAAAAAAAAAAAAAAAAAAAAAAAAAAAAAAAAAAGACGAGAAAGAAAAGCAGCCGGAAUGCCAGAGGAGGCCGGGCGAGGAUGCCGCACCGCUGCUGCCGUGCAGGCCCUGCGCCGCGCCCCCCCAGUCCCCUGCAAGGCUCUGCAGGGAAAGGCGGGGGAGCCCCCGGCGCACAGCGCCCCACAGCCCCGCCGGGAGCCGGGGUGCCCUGGGGGGGCCGCGCUGGGGCACCCGAGUGCGCAAUGGCUGCCGAGGACAGCCAAGGGCUGGCGCACACCCCGGCAGGGCUCGGGCAGGCAGCCUGAGGCAUCGCUGCCCACCUCUKCUGCUGGGGCAGCUCCCGAAAGCAGGAGGGUUCGCGUUGAACCGCAGCGAGCCGGGGCCUGCGGCAGCCCCGGGGCCGCUGUGAGCAGCGAGCAGGCUGGCAGCGCUGUGCCCCGGCCAUGGCAGCAGCCACACGCAUCCGCUGCCCUGCCUUCGUGCGCUUCCCAAAGCCAGAUCCUGCAAAUCUCCAUGAACGCUCCCACUAAAUUCCGAGGACAUUUUCACAUGUGAGACUUAACUCGCGUGUGGAAGUAUUCCCAGAACUAGGCCUCGCUUUAACUACCCACGGCAGCCUGAGUUUAAGUGCCUCUUCAUCCAAAAACCAGUUGUUAACCACACAGCGCAUCCCAAACUGCUGCAGCACCACACCACCUACUCYGUGACCGCAGAGCGUCCCAGCAGAGCCCUGAGACAAGUUUCCCUCUUCUGUGUUCCUUUGCACAUCACCUAUUAUAAUAACAAGUUACAACAUCGCCAGUGCACAGGUAACUAGCACAGCGGAGCUCAUGAAGGGAUGCAUAUAGCAGGGCUGAAACUAAAUUAUUUUUUGCAACUGCCUCUGUUCAGCCUUAAUAUUAACAUUAAUACUCUCACUUUCCUCAUUUAAAUACAAUAAAAGGGAAAAUUGCCUUUGCUUAAUAUUGUUACUAAUCAGGUUUUGCAAUUCCAGUUUUUAUAAGGCGAUAAAGUCAGGGAGAAGUUAGUGUACGCCUUUUCUGUUGCUGGGCUCAGUGCCCUCAGAAGCAGCUUGUUUUAAAUGGUGAGAUCAGCUAUUGCAGCUGGAAGAAGAGCUGGGGAAAAACAGAAAGCGUUUUUGGAAUAUUGUACAGUCCAAGCAUCACUUUCAGGAGCUUGAAAUUUAAAACACUGAGGAUUUUGUUGUUUGUUUUUUUUUUUUUYUUUUUAAACCCAAGCUACUCAGUCAGGAUGCUUUCUGGCUUGGCUAGAAAGACAAGUUUGCUACAUGUUUCUUUUUUGGAAUCAUUUUGAACUGCUUUUAGAUUAAAUUCUUACCUGUCUUAACUCUAGUGUCUUAGUAGAGUACAGAGUACAUUACUGAUACAUAUUUUUGGUAGACUUGAAAAGCAGCAUGUACAGCUUGAUUGUUGUCGGUAUUUCGCCAUUCGUUUUUAAGUGAGGCUCUUUUGAUUGAUGUGGGGAAUUUGUCUGAAAGGAUGAAGGGUAUGGCAUAGCUACCCAAGAUGCUACUUACAAUUACACCAUACCUCAGCUAACAGAGAGAUUUUUCAUUGUGAUUGUUGCGCUUUUAAAAGCRAAUUAGUUAAAUUAAAUUGCUAUUUUUGGAAUGCACUUAAAGGAACAUUAAAAUGYAUUAAUUUCAUUAAAAUAAAUGAGCAGAUAGGUAACAAAACAAGUAUCAGCCAAAUAAGCAAAAUCUCAACUCUGGAAACAAAUCCAGCCCUAGUGAAAUCAUCCGAGUUGAGCUUGUCUACAGCACAUUUAAUUUGGCUGCUGCAGUCACACAGCUGACGCUUUAUUUGGUUGUCAAAGGUGUGUAUAUUAAAAAUGUGCGAGCCGUGCUGCUUCUCCAGUGUGAUUAACCUCUGAAGUUAAAUUCACCUGGUUUCCAUUUAGCUCUGCUGUGCAGUCCUGUCACACAUGCAUUUUUUGGUGUGCGUACACACCGCAGAUGCAGAGAGGCUUUCCCAGCCCCUGUCUCGGUCUAAGGGACGUGAGUUGUGUCUGAAGUGAGGGAGUGCUGAGGUGGAUUUCAGCAGAGGCUGCUCACAACCAACUGCAUGUAUAUGCUCCAGUUAAUAGGCUGCACUGGAAUCUGUGCUACCAUCUUUCAUUACUGCUGUUGCUCAUGCCAGUGAGAGUAAAGGAAGGGUUGGUGUGUCUGUAAUCACACAUUCAUUUGCUAUGUAGAUACAUCCUAAGAACCUCUCAGCCUGGGAAAAUGAUGGUGGAAUAAGGUCGGAUUUAAAGCAGARUUGUGUUCAGGUAGUUUAUUCAUUCUGGAAUGACUGAGUUGUUUCCUGGCUUCACUUAAUCCACUUUCAGAGUGGAUUAAGGUAAUUCAAGAAACUGAAUUCUUAGGCAUAAGAGUUGUCUGCACAUGGGUUUUAGUCGAAUGUAAUUACUGCGGUGUACCUAGUAGGUGUCAUGAAAUAAUUUGGUGCGUAGACAAGUCCAGUCCCACUGGUGAAAACAACAGAAUUUAGUCACUUUGUAUAACAUGAGGUUAAUUUAGCCCAACAUUUGACCUACUUCUUUCCUCAUGAAGCAUAUUUAAUUCAUUACAGGUUUCUAUUCCUCAACAAAAACCCAACAACAGMAAUGUACUUACAAUCAGUUUCAAGAUAGCAAUAACUUGUGCACUCCUCUAAAAAUAAACAAUUUAACCGGUGUAUACUCUACAUACCUUCUCAACUGCACUAAAGAGGACAAAAGGUUCUUUACUGGAAAAAAAAAAAGCUUCUCAAUCAUAAAUAUUUUGAGUGGGUUGUUACAAGCAAAAGGAAAACAAACCCCAAAGCUCUGCCCGGCCCUCUGAGACACCCAUGAUCCAUUUGACUGCAUUCCGUUCAUAGCAAUAGCACCCAGUCUGACUCAGCAGUAUUAGUUCCUGAAUGAAGAACCUCACAGGCUCCAACAGAAGGGUUUGCYGAACAACAGGGCCUUCAGGAGGCACCUUAAGAAUAGUAGAGAGCUAACUGACAGAAGCCUGAAUCAGGGAGAACCUACCUGAAACCCAGGCAGCUACUCUGCCUUCUCAGAAUCGGGUGUAUUGCAUCACUAGCAUACAGGAAAGUGAUUGAAUUGAUAAUUAGAACAUACAAGAUGUGUUGUGACCUUGUGCCAAGCACAAGAUUUGUCAAAUAUCAUUCAGUGUCAUUCCAUGCCACAGACAUCCACGGAGGAGAGAUUCUCUGAUGGGAAUGAAGCCUCCUAAAUUUUAUACUUAAGAUUGUUGCUUUGCUUUUUAGGGGGGAAAAUCAAACAAAAACUAGAUGAGGUAGAAAUUAUGUAAGUUCAGGGAGUAAACCAAUUUUUUGAAAGACACAUAAGUAUAAAAACCAGAUUAUAUAAAUUACUCACCCCUUAAAUAUUGACAUGGGAAAAGCCAUUAAAAGCUAUGAAGAUGAAAAAAAUUCAGCUUUGCAUCAAAGAUGGUAGUGUGUGUCACAUAUUACAGAGGGUAACCUAUGGACUUCCCUUACACAGAUGAAGGAGCCCCAGCUGCUCUGUGUAACAGGCAGUGAUGCCCAUAGGAGUCUCAUUUUGUGAUUCUAAGCAUGACUUUGCCUUCCUAUGCUUGUCCUGGUUGAAGAUACAGGGAAUGGAUUUCACCUGCAACUCCCUCAUGCCAAACCUGCUUAUCUAAGAAAGAAUAAUUCUGUUAAUAAAGUAAGCACUGACUAAAGGAAGUAAAUGUGGACAAAUAUAAAACAAAAAAUCAAGGCCUUAAAUUUUGUGGUGCUGGAUGWCUUUGACCAUGGGUCUUGAUAUUAAGACUCAAAUAUUAAGCUUGAUAUUAAACUCAGAUUGUAGGCAAUGAGACUUUCAUAGGAGCAUGACUGAUCUGAAAUCCCACUUGAAUAAAAAAAAUGGAUUGGAUUAUUUUACACUGCUUCUGCUGAGAGAUCUCUGAGCAUUGGAUCCACCUGCAGUGGUGGGGUGUCCUGGCUCUCCCCCACUCCUGUCAUUGCAGGGGCAUUACUCGUGCAGUGAGGAAGGUGUCUUUAAAUCUCCAAGACGAUGGCACAACACACGGAAGAGGAAAUCUCAGUGCACAGCCAGUGCCAGGCAAUGAAGGAUCCUCUGUGGGAGUUGGUUAGUAGUGCCAAUGUUUGAUAUUUGUUGUAAUAACCACCAACUGUUUUGUUUUUUGUUCUAACAAUGUGAAUUAUGCAUUAAACACUAAUACAAGUGAGUGUACUUUC